rnacentral:lncRNA from 1 species
UCCAGCGAGUUCGAGAGCUACAGCGAGGACUCUGGGGAGGAGGCCAAGCCGGAGGUGGAGCCCGCCAAGCACCGAGUGUCCUUCCAGCCCAAGGUGAGGGGGGCACGGGAUGUCUUUCACCCCAGCCAGGGCCCCGAGACCCCCUCAGGGAGGGGGCGGGGCGAUGGGGGCCAGACCUGAGACUUGUGUCCAGAUGUCAGUAAUUCCCAGUCGUUCUACAGGGAGAGUGGAACGGCCCCGUAACCCCCAAACAGGAGCCGGUCCACAGGCCUUGCUGUUUGGUUGUGGAACGCCCUACAUCUGGAACGGGCAAGGUUAAUGCCCCCUCCUCCAGACCCCAUUCCUGUGGCAGACCCUAGCAGUGGAUCAUGAUGAUCGUCCCCGCCAGGCUCAGAUCUGGCUUCAGAAUCCUUCUCAACACGGGGCUCCAGGCAGCCCAGCCAAUCCUUUAAAGUUGGCAUUUGGAGCAAAUCCACCUGGUCUCCCUUUCCUAAAGAACGCGACCAACUCUCAGACCACACUGCCCCAGGAAAGUGGACGAAUGGAGGCUGCUGUGCAAACCCUUUAGCUGGCCCUUCAGGCAUUUGGCUUUCCUGUGUCCCUGCCUGGGCGGGGGUCAUUCUGCCUGAUUCAUGGAGGGAGUCCCUGAAGCUGGAGGACAAGCUGUCUCCUCCUCUCUGACAUCCUCUCUCCUCCCACAUUAUUCUACUGAAGCCGUCAGAAGGCAGAUUCUGUCCCCGCUGAGAUUGGGGAUUUCACGGGAGCAGCUUCUUCCCCGCCCUGCCAGGCCAGGGCGGCCCGGCCCCGCCUCCACCCCUCCUCAAAGGGCAGCUUUCUCCAGACCUGACUAGGCUAAAGGAGAGAUACGCCAGGACUAAGAGA